rnacentral:lncRNA from 1 species
ACGUAGGUAGACACAUGUGUGUGAACAUGUGAGUGAAAAAAUGAGCACGUGCGAAUGUGCACGUGUGUGUUUGCGACUGUGCGUGUGUGUGUGCAUGUGUGCGUGAGUACAUGUCAGAGAGAACGUAAGUAUUAGAGUUUAUGUGUCAGGCAAAGGUUUGGAGGUCCAUGUGCAGUGUGAGGAAAUGCCUGGAUGCCUGGAUAUGGAGGUGUGUGUUUAUUGGAUGUGAGCGUGUGGGUGUGCAGGUGUGUGUGU